UCAGUGAGAGUCUAUUCAAACUCUUAAUAUUUGCAUCUAUCACGUUUUUCUGGGUCCAAUUCCACUGAACAGCAUUCUUUACUCCUCUAUCUGCUCCGUAGUCACUGCUACCCUCACUACUGGUUUCCUUGGAUGACUCAGCAUCACUAUCUUCACCAGGCCUCCUGUCAAAAAGUAGAAGCAAUAACAAUGCAUGCAUCAAGCACAUUUAUAACAAUAUUAUGUUCACAACUGAAGGAAUGUUAAACAUUAGAAUUGCAUUUCAAAUUAUCAUUUCUUACAGCAGAAAGGACAAAUCAACUAUUUGUAUUGCAUAAACAAUGAAAUAUCUCAAGAAACCUAGGAGGCGAUAUCAAUUUCCAAGAAACGAAAAAAAGCAGAGAAGAUGGCAGACAUUUUGAAGAAAAUUACAUAAUCCUACUGUUGAUUUAGUAUAUCCACAAGAAUGAUUCCAAUAAUUUGGGCUUGAUUUAAGUGGAGACACAAAGAAGUGUAUAGCUCUGAAAUGCACAUUGAUGAAAGCAUCCCAUCAUGCCAUGGUAAGAUCCAAAGUAACACAGUUUGCUUCAAGCUUCUAUUUGAUGGAAUGCUUAUUUACUUAAAUCAUUUAACUGUGUAAGAUGUCGCCUGUAACCACUGAAAGGCAGGUGAAACAGUUGAUCAAAGGCAAAACAUCCCUUCAUCAAUCAUAGCAUUUCAAACUUAAACUCAAGUUUACAUAUAACUGAGCCAAAUUUGUGAUUUUUCAAAAACACUCAAGGAAAAGAAAAUAUUCAGAGACACUCUAAAUUUAAAUUAGACAUGUAGAAAUGUAUUAUACACACCUUUGACACAUCUCGUUAAUCAGAAUGUUUCCUUAACAUUAAAGAUAAAAGAAGUUGCCACAUAAUGACAUAUGCAUCUGCAUCUGAAGAAGUAACUUUAAGCAACUAUAAUACAACCGAAACGCAAAUACUUGCUACAAGAGUUAUUAACUUUUCACUGCUCCAUUGCCAAGUCAAUUAAGCCCUCAAACCCACCAUGUCUCUAGAGCAAUAAUAUCAACCAUUCAAACCAUAUUACAACAGAAAGAACACUGGAAUAUUAAUCAAUUAUCCAAAUGCUUAGAGCAAGCAAUUCGGAUGCAAGAGUAAAAAAAGGCACAAAUACCAUACGUUGGUACGAACACACCGAAUUCACAUCAAUCAAUCAACAAUCGUUACAAAGGGUCAAUAGAAAUAGACACACUAACAAACAAGAAAAAGAUGGAGUAAGAAUGAAGACAAGGGUGGCUCACCUUAGCCUUGGAGAGGGUCCUGAUGGGUCUAUAUACAGCUGAAU
rnacentral:misc_RNA from 1 species